rnacentral:rRNA from 1 species
CCUACGGGUGGCAGCAGUGAGGAAUAUUGGUCAAUGGGCGCAAGCCUGAACCAGCCAAGUCGCGUGAGGGAUGACGGUCCUAUGGAUUGUAAACCUCUUUUGUCGGGGAGUAAGGCCCGCCACGUGUGGCGGGAAGGAGAGUACCCGAAGAAAAAGCAUCGGCUAACUCCGUGCCAGCAGCCGCGGUAAUACGUAGGGAGCGAGCGUUGUCCGGAAUUACUGGGGGUAAAGGGAGCGUAGGCGGGACUGCAAGUUGGGGGUCAAAUCUACCGGCUCAACCGGUAGCCGCACUCAAAACUGCAGUUCUUGAGUGAAGUAGAGGCAGGCGGAAUUCCUAGUGUAGCGGUGAAAUGCGUAGAUAUUAGGAGGAACACCAGUGGCGAAGGCGGCCUGCUGGGCUUUUACUGACGCUGAGGCUCGAAAGUGUGGGGAGCAAACAGGAUUAGAUACCCCAGUAGUC